rnacentral:rRNA from 1 species
AGUAACGCGUGAGGAACCUGCCUCAAAGAGGGGGACAACAGUUGGAAACGACUGCUAAUACCGCAUAAGCCCACAGCUCGGCAUCGAGCAGAGGGAAAAGGAGUGAUCCGCUUUGAGAUGGCCUCGCGUCCGAUUAGCUAGUUGGUGAGGUAAUGGCCCACCAAGGCGACGAUCGGUAGCCGGACUGAGAGGUUGAACGGCCACAUUGGGACUGAGGCACGGCCCAG